CACUAAGAAGCUAUAUAGCACUAACCUUUUAAGUUAGAGA
rnacentral:tRNA from 2 species